AUAUGACGAGCCUUGAAGUGGGGGCAUUUGUAGACAUUGAAAUUUCGGUAAAUAAAUGUUGACCGAUAAAUCAAAGUGUCAACGCUCAUGUAUUACAUAAAUUUUACACGUAGCGUGUGACUAAACGAAAAUUGAAAUGAGUUGGAAAAGUCAUCAAACAGGACACGUGUCAACACCUGGCAGAAACGACUUAUUUCAUCUGAAAUAUUAUAUUCAAAAUUAGGCCUUGGAAAUUUCUAUAAAUAGAAGCCAAUUUCAUUCAUUUGAGGGGAGAACCAAAAUCAUUAGGCAAAAUUCUUGAAGCUCUGAAACUCUGAAACUCCGAAGCUCUCAAGCAUCGAGGUUCCCGAAGAAUCAAGAAAGCGUUCUUCGUUCUUCGUUCAUCGUUCUUCCAAGAUCAAGCCUCGACGGCCCUUGGAUCAACA
rnacentral:lncRNA from 1 species